AGCAGUAUAAUUAUGUUGUAUACUGUUUGACAUAUCUUGCUUUUUUGUAGGGAAUAAGAUUGACCUGCAUCCUGGCUAAAUGUAAAUGAAAUGGCAUGCCUUGCACAUGUUAAGAUCAUGAGAAACCUAAUUUUUCUGGAGCUGAUAGUAAUUAAUAUAUUAUCCAAGUGACUUACUUGGGAAGGUGUAGAGAGUAAAUAUAACCCAUAGCUUAAAGAUUGAUUGAACAGAGGUCAGAGAGUAGAAAUGUUCAACAUUAUUUUUCUGUAAUUGUCAUGAUUAAAAUAUAUGUUUCUAUAAAUCAUCAUACUAUACACAUAAAGCUUCCUCACUUUUGUUUUUAUUGUGGGUCUUGCCAUAGUCUUCCCUGUAUCUUCAUUUUGUGAUUUUUUUCCCUAGCUGAGAAAAAUCUUUCAAAGUCCAGACUGAAUCUUCUUCUUUGUUGUAUAUCUUAUGCUUGUAAGAAUAACCUGAUCAUAAUAAACAAGGAAUAAAUGCUUCCUGAAUAAAAAUGAAUAAAUAAAUGUAUUAAUUACCUUAAGUUAUGAAAUUGAUCUGUAAAGGAACCUAAUUCUUGAUCUUAUUCUCAUUAUAUCUGCCCUCUAAGGCCUAUAUGGAGAAUGUAUAUUUAUUUAAAUGUCACCAAUAUUAUUUAUCAAGCCCUUAGUACAUUCUAGUCAUUGUUCUUUAUACCAAGGAUAUAGCAGUAAGUGAAACAAAUCUCUAGUUUAAUGGAGCUUGCAUCCUGGAUAGCAGUAGACAAAAAACAAAUAUACAAGCAAACUAUAUGGUAUAUGAGAUGGUGGUAAGAGCUACUGGGGAAAAUAAAACAGGCCUGGUAGAUAGGGAGUGACAAUUUGAAAACAUUAUGACAUAAACAAAGGUGGCAAGGAAAGUCCUCACUGAGCAAAUAGAUACCUGAACAAAGACCUACUGGAGGUAAAGGAGUGAGCCAUGCAGAUGUUUGAUAGAAGAGCAUUCUGAGAGAAUAUUCUUAUGCAGCACCAGUCCUCCAGUGAGCAUGAAACAGUAAAGGUUCCAAUUUUUCAAUAAUUAAUAAAAAAGCAAAUAAAUGAGUAGAAGAUGACGACAUCUAAAAAGCAAUUAGGAAGUCACAUACUAAGAUAUGUCCAUCAUUGUGAAGACAUUAGUGUUUGCUUUGAACAAGAGCAAGCCAUACAGAAGCUUGUUUUCAUAGGAUUACUCUGGCUACAUGCUGAAGUUAGACUAUAGAUAUUUUUCAAAGCUAUGAAUCUGAAAGACAUCAUCAAGAAGAUAAAGAGGACAAGAAAAGGGAGAAGAAAAGCAAGAGAUGGAAAGUAAAGGGGAGCAGAGAGGAAAUGAAGAAAAGGAAAGAGAAAUUAAGAACUGAUGCCUGGAAUACAGUUAAGAAAAGAAGAGACCAACGAAGGCGAGUAUGCCUGUAUUAGUUUUCUAUUGCUGCUAUACCGAGAUACCACAAACGUAGUGGUUCAAACAACAAAUUAAUUUUCUUAGAGUCCCAAAAAUCAGAAGCCAAAAAUAGGUUUCACUGGUUAAAAUAAAAAUGUGAGGAUUGCAUUCCUUCUGGACCAUCCAGGGGAGAAUUAGUUGUCUUUCCCAGCUUCUAGAGGCCACUUGGAUUAUUUCAUGGCCCUUUCCUCCAUUUUGAAAGCCAGCAAUCCUAUUACUCUGA